rnacentral:rRNA from 1 species
GAUCCUGGCUCAGGACGAACGCUGGCGGCGUGCCUAACACAUGCAAGUCGAGCGGGGAAUAUUGAGCAGCUUGCUGCUUGGUAUUUCUAGCGGCGGACGGGUGAGUAACGCGUGAGCAACCUGCCUUUAUCAGGGGGAUAACGCAUCGAAAGAUGUGCUAAUACCGCGUAAGACCACAGCUUCACAUGGAGCAGGGGUCAAAGGAGUAAUCCGGAUAAAGAUGGGCUCGCGUCCGA